CAUCCGCCUUUUUGGAUUUCUUUCAACGUGUAUCUGGAAAUUGAAACUCAGACAAGACGGAGAUAGUCUAGCUCGCCUCUGCAGCCGUCCUGCUCCCAGACACAAGAACCCAAAGGGAGGGAGGAGCAACCGGUCCAUUUUACAGCCCUGGGUUGGGGAGAUGCAGAGAAAUGGAAACCUGGAGAAAAAGGGUUUAAAUUUGGUGACCUGGGUUUAGGUGACAAACCCAGUUGCCCUCCGGAGACAGCAGGGAGCCCCUGGACCACAGAAGGUAAGA